AGCGGAGGAAAAGAAACCAACAGGGAUUGCCCUAGUAACGGCGAGUGAAGCGGCAACAGCUCAAAUUUGAAAUCUGGCUCUUUUAGAGUCCGAGUUGUAAUUUGCAGAGGGCGCUUUGGCUUUGGCAGCGGUCCAAGUUCCUUGGAACAGGACGUCACAGAGGGUGAGAAUCCCGUACGUGGUCGCUGGCUAUUGCCGUGUAAAGCCCCUUCGACGAGUCGAGUUGUUUGGGAAUGCAGCUCUAAAUGGGAGGUACAUUUCUUCUAAAGCUAAAUAUUGGCCAGAGACCGAUAGCGCACAAGUAGAGUGAUCGAAAGAUGAAAAGCACUUUGGAAAGAGAGUCAAACAGCACGUGAAAUUGUUGAAAGGGAAGCGCUUGCAGCCAGACUUGCUUACAGUUGCUCAUCCGGGUUUCUACCCGGUGCACUCUUCUGUAGGCAGGCCAGCAUCAGUUUGGGCGGUAGGAUAAAGGUCUCUGUCACGUACCUCCUUUCGGGGAGGCCUUAUAGGGGAGACGACAUACUACCAGCCUGGACUGAGGUCCGCGCAUCUGCUAGGAUGCUGGCGUAAUGGCUGUAAGCGGCCCGUCUUGAAACACGGACCAAGGAGUCUAACAUCUAUGCGAGUGUUUGGGUGUCAAGCCCGAGCGCGUAAUGAAAGUGAACGGAGGUGGGAACCCGCAAGGGUGCACCAUCGACCGAUCCUGAUGUCUUCGGAAGGAUUUGAGUAAGAGCAUGGCUGUUGGGACCCGAAAGAUGGUGAACUAUGCUUGAAUAGGGUGAAGCCAGAGGAAACUCUGGUGGAGGCUCGCAGCGGUUCUGACGUGCAAAUCGAUCGUCAAAUUUGGGCAUAGGGGCGAAAGACUAAUCGAACUAUCUAGUAGCUGGUUCCUGCCGAAGUUUCCCUCAGGAUAGCAGUAA
rnacentral:rRNA from 1 species